rnacentral:misc_RNA from 1 species
GCUGCAUCGUUGUAGAUGACAUUCAUCAUCCCUUGKUUGAUGUGGUGUCAUGUCGCUUGUGAAUCCCAGGUUUUAGCUUUUCAAGCUUGGAACGUGUGGAUAAUCGGCUGGUCAUAGACAUCACUCCCUUGGUUGAUGAAAGUCAUCCAAUGAUGUGGUGGUCUGUCUAUCCUGAUCUCGCAUCGUUCGGUGCAUUCUGUGUUCAUCUGGGCUAUUAGCGGCUUGCUUGGCGAUUAGGCUUGGUGGGUUGUUAAUAGUUUGGGUGUCUACGGGGAUGUCUACCGUAAAGGUGCAUGAGUGGUGUUUGGUUUGUUACGGGUGGUUGGCUCUUUGCUUGCGCAACAACUUCCACCUGGCAUACCUCUUCAGUCUUGUGUCAACGCUUGUAUCGCAUUGAAUGCAUGACGGGUUUCCUGUGUUGCUUGCCUAAUUAAUGGUAUCGUUUGAUGAAUUGGUUUCCUUUUUCGUCUCGCCUCGCUUAUGCGAUGUGAGAUGAACCUUGAAGCAGCCUUUGUGAUCCACACUUUCGAUGCAUACGCAUUGAUUUUGUGGCCCAUUAAUCGUUGCUUGGUCUCAUGGAUAUGGAACCUGGUGUGGGCAUGGAAUCUUAAUGGUUCCUUGUUUGCCCAAGUUUAGCUUUUCUAAAACGAUCGUCUAUCA